GGACCCUUGGCACAGUGGGUAAGGCGACUGAUUUCUUCAUUUGUCUUCCGCACACACUUACGUCCUUUCUAGUAGCGCGUCGGAUUCCAGUCUGUACUGGAGAUUCCCGAAGGUCGUGCGUUCAACUCGCACAGGGUUCA